ACAUUUGAGUGCAACAAAAGAGAGGCCGCAAAAAAAGAAAGAGGCCGUGCGAGAGUGUAAGGUGUAAAAAUAGAUGUGCAUUUGUCUGAUUAGAUAAUUUGCCGCCUGCACGAACUGACGAUGACGGUCAAGAUCAAGGCAAAGAUACGUUUAUGUAAGCCACAUGUAUGUUAAUCCGCAAACACACACACACACGAACACAGAGCUGUUAAUUAACAGCUGUUUUGGAUGGUUUGGAUGCUCUUAUCACACUUACCACAUUUGGUGGCAGCUUGUGCCCCUUCAGGUAUUUGACAUUCUCGUGUGUCUCAUUGAUGAUUUCCGUGAGCUUCUUGCCAUCAAUCAUCUCCUCGUAGACGAACAUCGUUACCCGCUCCUCGAAUUCGGGCAGAGCAGAAGCAUUGGCGCCCACAAUUUUCGCUAUGGCCGAACCCC